AACGAACGCUGGCGGCAUGCCUAACACAUGCAAGUCGAACGAGACCUUCGGGUCUAGUGGCGCACGGGUGCGUAACGCGUGGGAAUCUGCCCUUCGGUUCGGAAUAACACAGGGAAACUUGAGCUAAUACCGAAUGAUGUCUUCGGACCAAAGAUUUAUCGCCGAAGGAUGAGCCCGCGUCGGAUUAGCUAGUUGGUGAGGUAAAGGCUCACCAAGGCGACGAUCCGUAGCUGGUCUGAGAGGAUGAUCAGCCACACUGGGACUGAGACACGGCCCAGACUCCUACGGGAGGCAGCAGUGGGGAAUAUUGGACAAUGGGCGAAAGCCUGAUCCAGCAAUGCCGCGUGAGUGAUGAAGGCCUUAGGGUUGUAAAGCUCUUUUACCCGGGAUGAUAAUGACAGUACCGGGAGAAUAAGCCCCGGCUAACUCCGUGCCAGCAGCCGCGGUAAUACGGAGGGGGCUAGCGUUGUUCGGAAUUACUGGGCGUAAAGCGCACGU
rnacentral:rRNA from 1 species